ACCGUAGCCAAGUGGUAAGGCAGGGGCCUGCAAAGCCUUGAGCGGCGGUUCGAAUCCGCCCGGU
rnacentral:tRNA from 1 species